AUCUUCGGGGUCGGGUGAAAGUCCCAACCGGCGGUAUAGUCCGCGACCCGCAUUUAUGCGGCUGAACCGGUGACUCUCAGAGAGAGAAUUCCGGUACCGACAGUACAGUCUGGAUGAGAGAAGAA
rnacentral:ncRNA from 1 species